GUUUGAUCCUGGCUCAGAUUGAACGCUGGCGGCAUGCUUUACACAUGCAAGUCGAACGGCAGCACGGGUGCUUGCACCUGGUGGCGAGUGGCGGACGGGGUGAGUAAUGCAUCGGAACGUGUCCUAAAGUGGGGGGAUAACGCAUCGAAAGAUGUGCUAAUACCGCAUAUUCUCUGAGGAGGAAAGUAGGGGAUCGAAAGACCUUAUGCUUUUGGAGCGGCCGAUGUCUGAUUAGCUAGUUGGUAAGGUAAUGGCUUACCAAGGCGACGAUCAGUAGUUGGUCUGAGAGGACGACCAGCCACACUGGGACUGAGACACGGCCCAGACUCCUACGGGAGGCAGCAGUGGGGAAUUUUGGACAAUGGGCGCAAGCCUGAUCCAGCAAUGCCGCGUGAGUGAAGAAGGCCU
rnacentral:rRNA from 1 species